rnacentral:rRNA from 1 species
CUGACAUAACUCGUCGAAAGACGGGCUAAUAUCAGAUAAAACAUAACUUGGCAUCAAGUAAUUGUCAAAGCUUCGGCGCCCAAAGAUGAGUCUGCGGACCAUUAGGUAGUUGGUGGAUUAACAGCCACCAAGCCAACGAUGGAUAGGCUGGUCUGAGAGGAUGAUCAGCCACACUGGAACUGAGACACGGUCCAGACUCCUACGGGAGGCAGCAGUAAGGAAUAUUGCUCAAUGGGAGAAACCCUGAAGCAGCAACGCCGCGUGAAGGAAGAAGGGUCUUCGACUUGUAAACUUCUGUAGAAGAGGAAAAUACUCCGAUAUACUCGGAAUUGAUUGUACUCUUAAAGUAAGCCCGGCUAACUACGUG